AUUCCAUUAAUGACUACAAAGGAGGAACACUACUGACUAGAAUAAAUUUCGGCAGCAUUUUCCCAUUCAUUUACUUCAACUUGAGGAACCAGAAGGCCGACAUUAAAGAUGGUACCACCAAGUUGAUAUCACGAUCAAAGGGAGAAGUUGCUCAAGUCAUAUAAGAAGAAAGCACCUAUAACUCUUCGACUAAAGCAUAGCCAACUCUCAGGCUCCGAUACUGUGCUGUUAACAAAAAGCCAGAUUAAUCGAGUUGAGAAGUCGAAACGGAAUGGGACAGGGACUGACAUAAAAAUCAGUCAGACUCAGAUUAGAAAGCAGGAAGGUGGAUUCUUGGGCGCUCUAUUACCAGCACUUGCCCGCCUUGGGUCAGCAGCACUACCAUACCUAUCUAAGGCCGUCGCGCCAUUGGCCACGGGCGCUCUCAGUGGAUUAGCUAGUUGGGGUCUCAAUAAGGCCUUACCAAAGACUGGCUCUGGGCUAUUAAGUGUCCCGCAAGACAAAGUUGACAAACUAAUAAAGUAUAAGGGCUACCUUACGCAAAAACAAAAGGAGCAAAUCGUUUAAGCCCUCCAAGCUGGGUCUUUUAUCCCACAGUUUUAACUAACUAGAAAGCAACAGGAAGGUGGGUUCCUCGGGGCGUUUCUUGCCUCGAUCGGGGUGCCCCUGCUUAUGUCAGCUCUAUCGGGUAAAGGUCUCCAAGUAGACAACCGUCCUCAGAACUACCUUCAAACGUACAGAAUCCACCCAUAUAAGGGCAGCCGCCUAAGCUUAAGACCACCACCAUUUAGCGGUCAGUGGGAUGACCCAACGGUUGGAUAUGGAGUUAAACCAAAGAGAAGGCAGAAAAAAGAAGCAAAAGGCAAGGGGGCUCCUCCUAGGCAAAAACAACCCGUUCAACGGUAUCCCACUACUCGGAGCGCUGCUAUAAGGUUUGUUAAUAAACCACUUCCAAACAUCGACCUUCUAGAAUGGGUCACCAAGCUAGGCAUAAAACAUUUCAGAGGUGUAUAUAGUCGCGAUGAUCUACCCAAGCGGAUCCAUAAAAAGGAAUGUGGGAUAGUCAACCUCGACGAUAGUAGAGGAGCUGGAACUCAUUGGGUCUGCUACCGAAAUAUAGACGUACUGUGAAUACUUCGACAGCUUUGGAAUUGGAGUGCCACAUGAGGUUGAGCGGUACCUAGCUACGUCUGGAAAGGCACUUAUUCAGGGGAUGAGAGGCUGGCAGUACUUUGCGGCUGGAACCAUAGGUGAACCAUAGGUUCCUCAUAUCAUACUUUAGUGUACUCUAAUGAUAUAUGAAGUCUUACUGCGUCAAGGAGAAGAGAGUCACUGAUUGCAUCCCAGACUCUGAACGGUACGAGAAAACUAAAAACGGACGUACGAUGCUAAAGUGUACUUGUUCAUCAUGUGGUGGUAAACUAGAUAUCCAUAAGAUGAUCGGCUACCUGCCUAAGCCCAAGGGUGGGUUCACACCUGGGAGCUAUAAAUAUAUGGGGCCAUACAACCCGCUCGAGAAACAACUCGUAUACGACAAAGAGACUGGCCAAAUGACUGAUUGGAAGGUCAAACCGCUGAAUAAAGUAGACGAGAUCGCGGCGCACCAUGACAUAUGCUAUGACAUGGGGAAAAGCAAAGGGGAGUGCGACGGAAAAAUGGUCGAGUCGCUUGAUCGAAUACCGUAUGGUGAGAUGCCUAAGUGGGGGUCAACCGCACGUUGCCUUAUCAAUACAAAACCAAAACUCGGCCUCGGUGUUGAAAAGCCAAAAAACGGACAAAGCCGUUGAGUGAAGAGAACUGGCAAGAAGAACUAGCUGGUGAAUAACACAAGCCAGUAAAAAAGAAAUUCACCCGACGGCGCGUUAUAGUUUAUCGUACAGAUGAGAUAUGGUGUUCCGACUUCAGACUGGUGUUCUGAGAUGCAACAGUUUAGCAAAUGGAAUAAUACUUUUUCGAUACCUACUCAUGGUUUUAGAUGUAUUUAGUAAGUAUGGUUGUAUCAUACCGUUAAAAGACAAAAAAGGGUUAAACUGUUACUGAAGCAUUCAGAACAAUAUUCAAGGAAGGAAGAAAACCAGUGUAUGUAUGGGUCGAUAAAGGUAAAGAAUUCUAAAGGUAAAGAAACAGACACCUGAAAGACAUACUAGAAAAAAAUUAUAUACAAUGUAUUCGACUGAGAAUGAAGAAAAGAGCAGUGUUUGCGAACGAUGGAAUAGAACAAUUAUUACUAAAAUGUGGAGAUAGUUUACUGUUCAAGGUAAUACGCAAUAUUUAGAGAUGCUACCUAAGAUUUUAAAGUGCUGCUAUCUGUUAGAAGGAUAGGUAGGUACGAGCGUAAGACCCGCCAGAUACUCUCUUACAGCAUUGAAACUUAAGUGCAUCACUAGCCAUCUUAAGUGCAUAACUAGGUGAGAACCAAGUGAGCAGUGAUAUGAGAAUAAGAUCAUAUAGUAUGGGCUAUCAAAAGGGCUCACCAGAAUUGAUAAUCCAAAAUCUACAUAAGGACUACACAGGCUUUGCGAUCGAGUUUAAUAGCCCUGAAGGAACUGGCAGACUAUCGGACAAACAACAGGUGAUGUUACAAAAUUAUAAGGAAAACAAUUAUAAGGUGCUGGUAAGUAACGACUAUGAUGAGAUUAUAGAAGGGCUUGUUAAGUACUUUGAAGGGGUGAGAGUUCAGUGUGCGUGCUGCUCUAGGAGGUUCAAAUCUGCAGACACUUUGGGGAACCACCUGAGGUACAUCCACAGGCAUUUAUAGAAAAGGGAUAUAGUUGAAGUAUAUAUGGAAGUCAAAAGAGCUAGAGGACGCCCCCAGUGUAUGCAACCGAUGAAAAAAGAAUGGACUCUAUAAGACGAUCAAAGAACAAACACAUGCUAAACAAGGAGUGGUACUGCCCAGUGUGUAAGAACGGUAAGAACUACACCUUAGCUGGAAAAAAUAACCACACGAACAUAAAAAGACAUCAGAAAAAACAGGCCACAUGCAACAUAAUCAACGUUUUUACCAAUACACUCUAGAAAAUUAAAAACACAUAGAAGCGAACAAUCCGACGGGUCCACUCGGAUUAAAGGAAAUUUCGUUGGACACUUUAAAAUAAAUUGUAUAGUAUAGUAUAUUAUUGAGCGACUCACAGAAAAUAUCAAACCUUAAUAUAGAUAUGAAUGAGAGAGACCUUAAUAAAUUAAGUAAGUCUGAACUCAUCAAAUUGCUUCUGAAGCUAGGAAGUAAUAGGCCAAUCCCUAAACCUCGUACCAAUAAACCAAGACCGCCAGUGCCCACACCAUGCAAGAGUGGCUCAGUAGUAUGAAGAACACAUAAUACUACCACCUCCAGAGUUCCAAGACAGGCCAGCUCCUACACCUAGGACCUAAAGACCAACUUCUACAGCUAGGGUUCGUAGGCCAGUCCCCACACCUAAGACCAGUAGGCCAGUCCCAAUACCUAAGACUAAAAUAACGCAGACGAAGCGCGCCUUGAGGAGCUACACCAUGUCAUUCAAAGUUGGGACAAAGAAUGGUAGAGGCCCUCUAGCACAACUGCAUAGCACGGACAAGGCCGUGAACUACCACAUCACAAAGACGCUAGAACUUAUGAAAGGCCUCAAAUUCGGCUCAGCAUUAUAGAUCACAUUCAGGAAGAGUGCCGGCGACAACUUAGAGUUUAAGACCGCCUUCUUUAACAGUACACCCCAAACAAUCAUCAAUAACACCGAGAUUGACGAGGAGUUGAAGAACACUUAUGAGCAAAUCCUGAAUAGGAUAUCCCAAUGGGUAUCUAAAGGAUCUGGCUGGGCUAUAGAUAAAGUCGAUGGCCAGUACCUCAAUAUCGUAAAAUACCAGCCGAUGAGAGGGUUAUCAUACAUCCAACUACCGGUAGGACUACGAGACAGACGGCUGGUCAAAGUGAAGAACGAGGACAAUUGAGUGCUUCAGAUGUUGUCGCAUCAGACAUUUGAACCCACAAAGUAAAAACCUUCAGCGAUUCAAGAAAUCCGACAAGGCACUCGUCAACGAACUAGACUACUCAGGUGUUGAGUUUCCAGUGACUACCAAACACUAUAGUAGGAUCGAGAAACAGAACAGCAUUAACAUAAAUGUAUUCAGCUAUGAUGACAAACAACCAUACCCAAUAUACGUAUCAAAGGAGAGGUUCGAGGACCACAUGGAGCUCCUACUGAUGGUACUGCUACUGAUCACUGAUGGUAGUAACCAGCAUUACCUACUUAUCAAAGACUUCAACAAAUUCAUAUUCAAACAGACGAAACAUAAACAUAGGAAGCACUUUUGCAUGAGCUGCCUCCAGUGUUUCAGCUCUGAAAGAGUACUAACAAGCCAUGUUGAAAACUGCCUCGAGAUCAAUGGGGCACAGGCGAUCAAGAUGCCUGACAAAGAGCACAACGCACUCAAGUUCACAAACCACGACAAACAACCGCUAGUUCCAUUCGUCAUCUACGCCGACUUUGAAGCUAUAACUGAGAAAAUCAAUGGGUGCCAACCUAACGACAGCCAGUCGUACACUGGAGCCUACCAGAGACACACAGACUGUUGGUUCGGUUAUGAAGUGAUCUGCACCUACGACGACAAGUACUCAAAGCAAACGCGGCUAUACAGAAAGCCUUGUACAAGUUUAUGGAGAAGAUGUUGGAGGAAGUCAAAUGCUGCAUGAGCAUCAUGAGGAAGCACUUCAAUAAUGCACUAACAAUAUCGAAGUAUGAUGAGGACCGAUUCCAAAAAUCCCAAGAGUGCCACAUAUGCGACAAGGAAUAUACUAAGGAGGACACUCGAGCUCGAGACCACUGCGACAUAACUGGUAAGUACAGAGGCUCGGCACACCGAGAGUUAAACCUACAACUUAGAGUCGACCCUGAUAAAAUAAAGAUACCCGUCAUAUUCCACAACCUAUGAGGAGGACAGCCAUUUCACAAUGCAAGAGAUUGGAGCUAUAGUCAAGAAGCACACAUAUGUGAACAGCAAGGGUGAAGAGAAGCAAAUUAACAUCAACGCAAUGUUCAAAGAGCACUUUCAGCUCUUUGAACAUCUGGUCUUGUAUGGGACGCCAUGUUAAAAAUGACUGACAUCCAACUAGAACUAAUGACAGAAAUCGACAUGUUCCAACUUAUCGAGAAGGAUAUGCGAGGUGGCAUAUCAUACAUAGCCAACAGAUACAGCAAGGCCAACAAUAAGUACAUGGAAUCAUUCGACGAGACGGCGCCCUCGAAGUAUGUUAUGUAUUUGGAGGCAAAUAACUUGUAUAGAUGGGCUUUGAGUCAGUAUCUACCAAAUGGUGGAUUCAGAUGGAUGACAGAGAAGAGAAUCGAAAAACUAAACCUAGCUAAGUACAGCGAGAGUAGUAAAAAGGGGUUGAUACUAGAAGUCGACCUAGAGUACCCUAAAAGCCUACCCACUAGCCGCGGAGAGAGUAAACGUAUCAAAGGACAUGCUAUCAGAGUACUGCGACAAGAUAGCAACAAAAUACGGCAUACAAACAAGUAAAGUCUCAAAGCUGAUCCCAACCUUAAUAGACAAAGAGUAAUACGUACUACACUAUAGAAAUCUCCAGCUAUACACAGACCUAGGCCUAAAAGUCCACCGAGUUUUAGAGUUCGACCAAUCACCAUGGCUAAAGCAGUACAUAGACCUCAACACUGAAAAACAUAAGAACGCCAAAAACUCAUUCGAGAAAGACUUCUUCGAAUUUAUGAACAACAGCCUGUUCGGAAAGACCAUGGAGAACCUAGGAAAAAAAGUAUACGUCCGACUGGUGACUGAUGAGAAGAAACUACUAAAAAUGACAAGCAAGCCCGCCUAUGUGAGUAGUAAGAUAUUCAACGAGGACUUAGUGGCUGUCCACAAGAUCAAGGAGACGCUGACACUAAACAGGCCAGCCUAUGUGGGUAUGUGCAUCCUAGACCUCAGCAAGGUACUAGGUACGACCUCCACUACAACUACAUCAAAGUGAAGUACGGAGACAGGGCAAGGCUACUAUUCACAGAUACAGACAGUCUGACCUAUGAGAUAGAGGCAGAAGACGUGUAUCAAGAUUUCUGGAACGACAAAGACAACUUUGACAAUAGCGACUACCCAAAGAGCUCCACAUACUUCAACGAAACAAACAAGAAAGUCAUCGGUAAGUUCAAAGAUGAGGCUGCAGGAAUCCCCAUCUGCGAGUUUGUCGGACUGCGAUCUAAAAUGUACAACUAUGUGAAAAGCGACCAAUCAGGAGGAAAGACAGCAAAGGGAAUCAAAAAGAAUGUAAUCAAAAGUAACAUCAAGCAUUAAGACUAUAGAAAGACAUUAAUUGACGACAGACAGAUGCACCACAAAAUGAAGACCAUCAGAAGCCAAAACUAUAAGUUAGGAAGCUAUGAAAUCAAUCAAGUGUCACUUAGCUGCUUUGACGAUAAAAGGUAUAUAUACGGGCACUAUAAGAUCGGACAAUAACCCCGAUCACCCAUUUGACUAAUGAAUCUUUAUUUGACACAUACUGGCAUCCACUAAUCUGGAGAAGAUAUACCAUCCUCACGCACCGAAACUAUUUAAAAAUAAUUUCAUGGAAAUUGAACGAUUGGUAAGAAAGUCAACAGUUGUCACUCACAACGACAGAGGCGAAGAGACCACACUGUCUGUUGAGGUAUACUACGACGGUGAGGAGCAUCCGUAUGCGGCCUACGGUAUGCAUAUCUACAAAGACCCAAAGGGCGAGAUGCACAGCAAAUUCGGCAGGUUCUCCGUAGCGACAGACCGCGAGGAGUACAAGAUCAGAUCUGGCAGAUCUGAUAGACACACCGACUACUCCUUUCACAAAAUUGGACAAGACUACAAAAAGUCAGGCGUUAAUAAGGUUAGGAACGAAGUAUUCAAGUAAUAAAAAUACGAAGACUGAAGCAGGAAAGUGGUCGAAAAGGUCAACGUCACUCGCAUGGGUGAGAUCGUGGUAGACGGGAGCAUGGAGAGGAUGACGAUCUACCCAAGUAGGAGCCGCCAGUGGAUCCGGAUGUCAGGGAAGGGCAGCCCGGAGGGCGAGCCCAGGCGAAUCGAGCCUGCGCUUUUCUGCACCAAGUCUGGACAACUCGCCCGCGAUUCACUCCUAGGAAAUGAAAUAUUAUUGCGUUGCCAUGCCUCUAAGCAAAUCUAGGACAUUCCACUUUGCCAGCGGGAAAGUUCCUAAAUACAAUAUAGACAUAUUUAUACUUGCCUGCGGGGGGUUCCCCUUACUCGCUCCUAAGAAUUAAAAUUCCAAGAAAGUCACGCAACAGCCGUGAACAUAAAAUGAGACCCGCACACACCGCACGGAUCCCACGAAAUGAAGAAAGCAUAUAGUUCCAGUAAUUUAUUCAUAAGCUGACACCAAAAUCUUGUACCAUAUAGUCUCACCACAAUAUGAUACCAUAUAGUUUCACCAAAACUUUUAUCAUAUAGUUUCACCAAAAUGGGAUACCAUAUAGUUUCACCAAAAUCUUUUAUCAUAUAGUUUCAGCAAAAUGUGAUACCAUACAAUCAUACCAGAAUAUGACACCAUACAAUGGUGAGUAGUAUAGACUUGAUUUGAGCACAUUCCGUAGGAGUGGUUGCUUUAGUGUCAAAAUGGAGGCUGAUAAAGACCCUCUCUGAUACUCUGAUUCAUCAGAGUCAAAAUCUGAGUCUGACUCUGAUUCAGACAAAUUAAAGCUAACCACAUCACUAAGCUCAUCCAUCAUUAAAUCAACCAUUUCACUAAGCUCAUCCGUCAUUAAGAACUUAUUAUCAACCAUUUCACUAAGCUCAUCCAUUUUAAGAACCUUAUUCUCAACCAUCCCACUAAGCUCAUUUUUAAGAACCUCCUUAUUUUCAACUAUAGAGCAAUCGUCGACUUAAGCUUGAGCUGUAGGGCUUGUAGCUGUAGAGCUUAGCUAUUGCUGGUUUAGAGCUGCAGUAGGAUGAUAAGACAUUCGUGCGUCAUGUGACAUUCACGAGAUGUAGUCGAUAUACACUCGCAAAGUAAAGUUUCUUACCGCUUUAUACACGAGUUUAACAUGUAAAUUUAUUUUGUUCCGAGAUUAAUGUAAUUUCCAUUUUAUACGUGCUGCGAAUGUCACGGGGACUUUUCUCGCUAAUGUAAACAACCAUUUUCGCGAAACCUCUGCAAUAUCGCUUAAUAAAAUACUGCGAAUAUCACAAAUGGCGAUUAGGGUCAACAGUCGAAAAAUUGACAAUUUAAAAGCUAAAAAAAAUUGUUUGCAAAAGGGAUACCGGAAAACAAAUGUUUGCCUGAAAAAAUUAUACCAGCCCCCCCCCAAAAAAAAAAAAAAACAAAAAAACAAUAAUAAUAAUGGUCCGUCCCUAAGGAUCCAAAGCGCUUAAAUUUUUUAGUUUCCCUAUUGGUCGCGGGUUUCAAGUCGCGGUUGCGGGUUUCCAGGGUGCAGGUUUGAAAAAGCUACGCGUUUGAUUUUCUUUAGGGGGUGGGGGAUGUUUUGUCAUAAAUAUAUAUCUUUUGGCGCGCGAAAAUUAAAUAUCCGAAAAAGAAAACACCAGAGAGCGGGGAAGCGGGCAAUUUUCUGUAAGUUGAUGACAGAUCCCCUUACAGGCAGUCAUGGUUACGAUCUGUCGCCAAUACGCAAUCCAGUUGUACUUGUAUAGCAUUGUACUAUAGUUUUAUCUUUUUUUAAUUGUACUAUUGCAUUGUACAUUGUACUAUUUAAUUUUACUAUAGUCGAAUAUUUAGUUCAGUCUCUCGAUAUAAUCCAACAUUCAAUUUUUUGCAUGGUUUUCGGACGAAAUGUAAAAAAUGGCUCAGCUUUUUGAGAUGUAUGCCGAGGAAUUAUCAAUGGAAAAGUCUAUGCACGUCUUCGACCUUCGACCGAUAAUUUUACGGACUCUUCGCAUAUUUGUUCUUUCGAGACUUACGAGACCUUUCACAUAGUUUAAUCCAUAAAACACCUAGUAUUACAAAUUACGCUAUGUAAGACCAAAGUUUCGUAAUCAUGCUUUAAUCUAGCCUUUUUUCUAUUAUACCUAACAGAUAACCCGCACCCGCACCCGCACCUUAGAACCCGUGACCCGCGACCAUUAGGAAAACUCUGAGAUUUUUGUCAAAGCAAUUCCUACAUAAUUCGCUUCAUAACAAAGUUUAAAACAGAUUGUAUAAUUUUCACUCGCUCUAUUUCGAGCUAAAAUUUGGCAUGUUUACAGCCAAAUUCGUUGUGGCUCGGCUUCGGCGAAUCCAAAAUCUUUUUGUCGUUUGGGAAUAGCGCGUAGCCAGACAUAAGCUUUGGGGGCGGUUUGUCUGGUUUUGAUUGUUUGGUUUGAUUGACUACGCGCUAUUCCCGCAGACAAAGAAACAAAAUUUGGAUUCUGGGAGGUCGGGCAACAACGAAUUCGGCUAUAACAUAAACGAUACAAAGAAGAAAGCGAUAUACAAGUGGUUUCUAGACCAAAUCUACAUAAGAUCUCCGUAGUUGUAGUGGUCAGAUCAUUAGCCUGUUAGCUAGAAUGUAGCUGCUUCGAGUCUCGAAUAUGGUGAUUUUUUCUCCAUCUCGCUUUUUACUCGGGCUACCUGUGGUAGCACGAGCCUAGGUUUCGGUUUUCUAUCUAUCUAUCGACGUUGUCGAAAACGUGUAAGCCUGCGAUGCUCAGAGGUCUGCGGUAUGCUCUGCCUGAAAGCGAGGCGGCUUUUGUGGAAGACUCUUUUCGUUCGCGAAAGUCUCUAUCGUUUGAUUUUAAUACGGGGACGCUCACUACUCACACAAAUGCACACACCGUCCGCGAUAGACCCGAACCGCAAUAGAUCGAACUGAAAGAAGAAGUGAGCUUGAAGAAUUCCGUCAUAUUGAAAAACAAUCUGUUCCUUCGAUACUUUGUAAGUCGUGAAGACAAUAUAAUGAUUACCUUUUUCGUGCUAUCUACUAGUUUAUUAUUUGUUUUAAUGUCACUAAGUCUUUUGGAGAUAUUUUUUUCGUUUUUCUGUUGAAAAGAAAGGCGAUUGUAUUUAGCAUGUUUGUAAUCAUUAGUCUUAUCGCGCUCGUGUCGCUUGUAUACUAUAUGCUAGACUACAGUAGUCCAUGGACAAUUUAUUAAUGUCGUUAGAAAACGAUAUUGUGAUUUGUUUGAAAAAGCUGUAAGUUUGCCGUUGAUGUAAAUACAAUGCAGUGCAAUUUUUAUCUC